rnacentral:rRNA from 1 species
GAUGAACGCUGGCGGCGUGCCUAAUACAUGCAAGUCGAGCGAACAGACGAGGAGCUUGCUCCUCUGACGUUAGCGGCGGACGGGUGAGUAACACGUGGAUAACCUACCUAUAAGACUGGGAUAACUUCGGGAAACCGGAGCUAAUACCGGAUAAUAUAUUGAACCGCAUGGUUCAAUAGUGAAAGACGGUUUUGCUGUCACAUAUAGAUGGAUCCGCGCCGCAUUAGCUAGUUGGUAAGGGAACGGCUUACCAAGGCAACGAUGCGUAGCCGACCUGAGAGGGUGGUCGGCCACCCUGGAACUGAGACACGGUCCAGACUCCUACGGGAGGCAGCAGUAGGGAAUCUUCCGCAAUGGGCGAAAGCCUGACGGAGCAACGCCGCGUGAGUGAUGAAGGUCUUCGGAUCGUAAAACUCUGUUAUUAGGGAAGAACAAAUGUGUAAGUAACUAUGCACGUCUUGACGGUACCUAAUCAGAAAGCCACGGCUAACUACGUG